GCAAGUCGAGCGGUAACACAGGGAGCUUGCUCCUGGGUGACGAGCGGCGGACGGGUGAGUAAUGUCUGGGAAACUGCCUGAUGGAGGGGGAUAACUACUGGAAACGGUAGCUAAUACCGCAUAACGUCGCAAGACCAAAGAGGGGGACCUUCGGGCCUCUUGCCAUCAGAUGUGCCCAGAUGGGAUUAGCUAGUAGGUGGGGUAACGGCUCACCUAGGCGACGAUCCCUAGCUGGUCUGAGAGGAUGACCAGCCACACUGGAACUGAGACACGGUCCAGACUCCUACGGGAGGCAGCAGUGGGGAAUAUUGCACAAUGGGCGCAAGCCUGAUGCAGCCAUGCCGCGUGUAUGAAGAAGGCCUUCGGGUUGUAAAGUACUUUCAGCGAGGAGGAAGGCAUUAAGGUUAAUAACCUUAGUGAUUGACGUUACUCGCAGAAGAAGCACCGGCUAACUCCGUGCCAGCAGCCGCGGUAAUACGGAGGGUGCAAGCGUUAAUCGGAAUUACUGGGCGUAAAGCGCACGCAGGCGGUCUGUCAAGUCGGAUGUGAAAUCCCCGGGCUCAACCUGGGAACUGCAUUCGAAACUGGCAGGCUAGAGUCUUGUAGAGGGGGGUAGAAUUCCAGGUGUAGCGGUGAAAUGCGUAGAGAUCUGGAGGAAUACCGGUGGCGAAGGCGGCCCCCUGGAC
rnacentral:rRNA from 1 species